GACGAACGCUGGCGGCGUGCUUAACACAUGCAAGUCGAACGGAAAGGCCCUGCUUUUGUGGGGUGCUCGGGUGGCGAACGGGGGAGUAACACGUGAGUAACCUGCCCUUGACUUUGGGAUAACUUCAGGAAACUGGGGCUAAUACCGUAUAGGAGCUCCUGCUGCAGGGUGGGGGUUGGAAAGUUUCGGCGGUUGGGGAUGGACUCGCGGCUUAUCAGCUUGUUGGUGGGGUAGUGGCUUACCAAGGCUUUGACGGGUAGCCGGCCUGAGAGGGUGACCGGCCACAUUGGGACUGAGAUACGGCCCAGACUCCUACGGGAGGCAGCAGUGGGGAAUAUUGCACAAUGGGCGGAAGCCUGAUGCAGAAACGCCGCGUGCGGGAUGACGGCCUUCGGGUUGUAAACCGCUUCCGCCUGUGACGAAGCGUGAGUGACGGUAAUGGGUAAAGAAGCACCGGCUAACUACGUG
rnacentral:rRNA from 1 species